AAGUGUUCUCUCCUUCUAAGUCAAGCAUAUAAAGAAGUACACAGCAUAAUAAUAACCACAUUUCGACAUACUGAAGACUCAAAGGACAUGGUGACACAGACCUUCAGUACAAGUUCUGCAGUGUCGUCACAUGACUGGUGGAAAAUAAGGUCAUUCUUCCUUCUGCAGUACCAAACGCUGUUGCUUUUUCCAGUGAGGACUAGUUCUCACAAUGGAGAAUAAGUUCUCAACAAUCCUUAAUGAGAUCAAAGAAGAACCCAAACAUUUUAGAUUGCUCCAUCUACUUGUAAACGCACAGACCACAGCAGCUGAAAGGCAUUCUGCAAGUACAUCUCCCAGCAGGCCCUCCACUGCACAAUGAACAAACAUGACAACAGAAGUCGAUUCCAAUCACAAGCCAAAAACUGGGCUACUUUACCUUUUGAUUAAAAUAGGAUCAACAAGGAGAAUAUAAACUUUACAUCAUUUAUAGUUUACUGCCUAUCUUCCAUUAAAAUGUCCAUACUGAGGGGGAAAAAAAAUCCCACAAAUGAAACUUUAAACAAUUUCUUAGGAAACAGGUCCAUAUGAAGUCAAUGUUAUUUUAUUUGGCAAUUUUGAGAUAUGGGAAACCCAUGUUUUUCUUUCUCUUUGUAGACACACCCAAUUCCCAGAAAGAUGUUUUCUUUCUUACAAUAGUCAGCUGCAUUUCUUUUGAACAAAAAACUCUGAAAGGGAGGCAUGUCGUAAUAAAAACAGCACUGAACAGAAAGUGCUUCAGCAUUAUCAUGUUCUUAUGUAGAAUGAAUAUAGUCAAGAUGACUUUCUUCUAUAAAUUCGAGAACAAUAUAAUCAAUGUCAUAUGUUCAAAUUUAAGAAUCUAAAAAUGCUAAAACAACCAAAUGUCACUUUUAAGGAAGGCAUCCUAAACAUAAAUUCAAG